rnacentral:rRNA from 1 species
GGAUGAACGCUGGCGGCGUGCCUAAUACAUGCAAGUCGAGCGAACAGACGAGGAGCUUGCUCCUCUGACGUUAGCGGCGGACGGGUGAGUAACACGUGGAUAACCUACCUAUAAGACUGGGAUAACUUCGGGAAACCGGAGCUAAUACCGGAUAAUAUAUUGAACCGCAUGGUUCAAUAGUGAAAGACGGUUUUGCUGUCACUUAUAGAUGGAUCCGCGCCGCAUUAGCUAGUUGGUAAGGUAACAGCUUACCAAGGCAACGAUGCGUAGCCGACCUGAGAGGGUGAUCGGCCACACUGGAACUGAGACACGGUCCAGACUCCUACGGGAGGCAGCAGUAGGGAAUCUUCCGCAAUGGGCGAAAGCCUGACGGAGCAACGCCGCGUGAGUGAUGAAGGUCUUCGGAUCGUAAAACUCUGUUAUUAGGGAAGAACAAAUGUGUAAGUAACUAUGCACGUCUUGACGGUACCUAAUCAGAAAGCCACGGCUAACUACGUG